UGCAAUCUUUCUAAAGCAAGAAGCGAGAAAGUUUACUUUGAGAAAGAAGGUGCUUGUUGCCGAUUUCUUCUUUUUUAAUAAUAAGUAAACUUGUUUUGUUUUAGUUUUAUAAGGCGAAAGGUUACUAUUUUUAUAAUUAUUAUAGUGUUAGCGCUUUAGUUUUCAAUAAGUUUAGGCUUGACUAAGAACAUAGAAAUGUUGAA
rnacentral:lncRNA from 1 species